AUACUUACUUGGUAGGAGAAAUACUAUUAUCACAAAGGGAGUUUUCCUGGGAAAAUGUUUAUCCAUUACACUCUGGGUGUGUUGACCCCUGGGAUUUCCGCAAAUGUAGAAGAGUUGACUGCAUAGUAACAGAGGACUGUGCCCACAAUUUUCCC
rnacentral:snRNA from 1 species